AAGGAAGGGCUUCUCUCUUCUCACACCUCUCUCUCUCUUUCUCUCUUCUCUCAAUCUGAUUUGUAUGCUAUGCAUCCAUAGGUAGAGACCCUCUCUAUUUAUAGAUAAAUCUCUUAACUCAAUAAGUAUAAAACUCCUAAUUCAAACAUGCUUUGAAUCAAUCCAAUACUCAUGAAAGAAGGACUCCUACAUAAGAUAGAAUUAUCAUCAUAUAUGACAACCACAUUGCACCC
rnacentral:lncRNA from 1 species